UGGGGCGUCGUCAAGUGGCAAGACUCGGGAUUUUGGGUCCCGCAUCGGAGGUUCGAAUCCUCCCGCCCCAG
rnacentral:tRNA from 2 species